rnacentral:ncRNA from 1 species
AGGAGCUAGAUGAGAAGAAAGUCUCACGUCCGGUUCUGUAGUAGAGAUAGAAUUGUGAAACAACCAUCAACUAUAAC